rnacentral:rRNA from 1 species
UACGUAGGGUGCCAGCGUUAAUCGGAAUUACUGGGCGUAAAGCGUGCGCAGGCGGCUUGGCAAGAAAGAUGUGAAAUCCCAGGGCUUAACCUUGGAACUGCAUUUUUAACUGCCAGGCUAGAGUAUGUCAGAGGGGGGUAGAAUUCCACGUGUAGCAGUGAAAUGCGUAGAGAUGUGGAGGAAUACCGAUGGCGAAGGCAGCCCCCUGGGAUAAUACUGACGCUCAGGCACGAAAGCGUGGGGAGCAAACAGG